GAGCCUGUCAACUUCCAAGGAGGAACGCUGGGCAUCUACUUCAUCAGGUACUUUUCCAAAUCCGUGGUUUCUGUCCUGAGUUCCCUCACAAGCCUCUUCUUUCCGGCCAUUCUUUCUGAAAGGCAAUGAAUUCCUCUCUGAGGCUCU
rnacentral:lncRNA from 1 species